rnacentral:rRNA from 1 species
CCCUUAGAUGUUCUGGGCCGCACACGCGCUACACUGAAGGAGGCAGCGUGUACUCCUGGAUCGAAAGAUUUGGGUAACCCGCGAAUCUCCUUCGUGCUAGGGAUUGAGGUUUGCAAUUAUCCUUCAUGAACGGGGAAUUCCCAGUAAGUGCAAGUCAUAAGCUUGCGCUGACUACGUCCCUGCCCUUUGUACACACCGCCCGUCGCUACUACCGAUUGAAUGAUUUAGUGAGGACUUCGGACUGGGACCGAUGCGGCUUUCGGGCUGCGUCGGUAUUCUGGAAAGAUGUCCAAACUGUNUNAUUUAUNGGAAGUAAAANUCGUANCA